rnacentral:tRNA from 1 species
GCCGAAGUGGCGGAAUUGGUAGACGCAGCGGACUCAAAAUCCGCCGCCCUUAAAAGCGUGUGGGUUCGAGUCCCACCUUCGGCACCA